rnacentral:tRNA from 1 species
CAUUAAGAAGCUAAACAAGCAUUAACCUUUUAAGUUAAAGACUGGAAGUUAAAAUCUUCCCUUAAUGA